UUUAAAAAAUUCGUGCCCUUUUAUCCCAAAAUUUCCUGGCUGAAACCGCUAAUUUUUUCUUUCGCCUCUUCUUCCCUUUUCAAACUCAUUUCUUUCGCCUCUUUUUUUCUUUUUCUCGGAUCUUCUUUCUCCCUCUCAGCAAAGAUCUUUGAUUCUUUGUCUCUUUUUCGUUCGCUCUCUGAGGCUGGAAACAGGCUUGUCAAACCCCCGUCGUCAGUCGCUGAGCUCAUCCCUUUCCUAGACAUGGGCCAUGAGUUCCUUAACUCUUAAAGGCAAAGCUUCUGAUCAAGCUCCAGCCUUGGCAAAUAUUCAGACAGCUCAGAAGCGUCCUGUUUCGCAACCAGUUUCACAGCCUAAACCACAAGCCUCUUUGAAUCUUCGGUACUUUUUCACCUUUGGUUUGGGAAGCAAUAUUUGGAUAGAAAACCUCUCAGAAAGCAUUCUAAGUUUUUUUUUUGUUAGGCUUCUAAAAUUUGCAAGGAAACUCGAAGUUUAGUUGGAUGAGCAAAUGAAUUUAUAUCGUAAGUUGGUCUCCAGUAAGGCUUCGACAAAAAAUGACUUGGAAGAGAAUGAUAAUGAAUCUGGUAUUGACCGACUACUAAAACAGCUACAAGAAGUAAAUAUGAAAAUGCAAGACUGGGUCUCAUCUGGUGGAUCUGAAAUGGUUUCUCACACCUUGACUAGAGCGCCAGAGGGUUUCUACUGAAGAACGCAAGAAAAACUUAUUUCUAUUGAAGAACGCAAGAAAAACUUAAGGAAAUAUGAGCAAGACAAACUUAAAGAAUAGAGCCAAUGAUUAACACAUACGCCAACUUUAGAGAUGAUGUUCUUCCCCGUAUUAAAAGACUUGGGUACAAUGCUGUUCAGAUCAUGGCUAUUCAAGAGCACUCAUAUUAUGCUAGCUUCGGUCGUUUUGGAACCCUUGAUGACCUCAAGUCACUGAUAGAUAAGGCUCAUGAGUUGGGUAUACUUGUUCUUAUAGAUAUUGUGCACAGCUAUGCUUCCAAUAAUAUGUUAGAUGGGCUGAACAUGUUUGAUGGAACUGAUGGUCAUUACUUCCACACAGGGUCAAGGGGUCACCACUCGGUGUGGGAUUCUCGUCUUUUUAAUUAUGGAAGUUGAGAAGUACUGAGGUAUCUUCUUUCAAAUGCAAGAUGGUGGCUGGAGGAGUAUAAGUUUGAUGGGUACAAAUUUGAUGGUGUGACUUCAAUGAUGUAUAAGAUUUCCUUAAGUAAAUGUAUUAUAUCUUUUAUUACCAAGAUUUACUUGAUUAAGAAAAUGCAUUGUAUGUUCUAUUACUUAGCAUAUGUAUUAUUUAUUUUAGUUUUGAUUUUAAAUUUUAUUUUUACUUAAGAGUUCUAACAUUUGGAUUUUAA